UUGGAGGUUAUAGUGCCGCGAAUACUUCUAUCGAUUAGUACUAUCGUUACCAGACGACGGGCACGCUGUGAGCAGAAAUGACAGUGGUUGUUAACAAUGUAGAACAGUUUUAUCGUAUGAUUGUUCUAAACACACCGCUUGAUUUCCGUGGCACGGAUAUUCUGGGAAAUGAAAGCGCCGUUUAGAUAUGACGGAAUAUAUUUUAGCCAAAAAAAGUUUGAAUGGAGUUACCCGAAUGGAAAUGGACGAUUAUUUUGCCGAUUCCGAGAUUGAGAACCUUUACAGUUGGCUGGACAGGAUAGAAUUUUCCCGACCGAAGAAAAAUGUUGGGAAGGAUUUUUCCGAUGGAGUGCUGGUCGCGGAGGUGGUGCACCAUUACUUCCCCAGACUGGUGCAGCUGCACAACUAUGCACCGGCCAGCGCACCCAAACAGAAGAUGGAGAACUGGUACUACCUCAACAGGCGUGUGUUAAAGAAGCUUGACCUUGAUCUCUCCGAUGACAUCAUCAGAUCACUCUCCUACUGCAAGUCUAAAGUGGCGGAGAAAGUACUGAUGAUGCUUCGUCUCCAGAUAGACAGAGCUCUGGAAAAAUCUGUCACUUUCUCAAAACGAUUUCCAAAUAACAACUUGUCACAGUCCAUGGAUAAUAUGGAGUUUUUAGUCAGCCCACGGCUACUGCCCCUGAGCUCAAAUGGCUCUCAACAAGGAAAGUCCAACUUGUCUCCGAGGCGCCGGAUUCCACACACCAGGAGGGAAUCUUACACCUCCAACAAGCCUCUGAUUGCUCCAAUAAUGGACAAUGUACCUCGGGCAUUGGUGGAGGAGAAACAGCAGGAAGCAGCUGCAAAGGAGGAAACAAUUCAGAUUAUGAAUGCAAAGAUACGUCGAUUGGAGCACUUACUAAGUUUAAAAGAUGUGAGAAUUGAAGAUUUAGAAACACGUCUUAGUAAUCUACAACAAUCACAGUUGACUCAACACACUGGAAGACUGUAGUCAUGACGACCCCCAGGAUCCAUCUACCCAGGGCACCUGUGACAUCGGCGGGGAGUGUGUGCAGGAGACUAUGGGUGGUUGACACUCUGUGUGGGGAGGUGCUCUGCAGAGGGAACACUGAUCAGUAACAGAGAAAUGAUAUUUGAAGGAUAAAUUGAACUGGAAGUGAAAAUAUUUACACGUUGUUUACAGAACAGUUUACUGUUUGUUUCAAUGGAUAAAUGUGUUUACUUAUGAACUGUGGACUGUUUGCUACGCAACAUUCAUGAGCUGCCUUUAAUACAUGUUGUUAUUCUAAUGUAUUUUGUAGUUUUUGUUCAGAUUUAUGGUAUUUGAAGUUGAAUUGAUCAUAUAAUCAGGGUAUUGAGAUGUGAGAUACAGUGGAUGGACUCUGUCAUCUGUGUAGACUACAGGCUACAGUAUGACACAAGGCUGCAUGAUUCUUUUCUUCACAGUGCGCCUUGGAUUUCACCAUGCUACGAUCACUAGCUAAUCACCAUACAAAUCAAUAAGGCUUUCUUAAAAGAAUUUACUCAAAUACUUUAUGCCUGUAAUGAAAUUUUUGACCACUUUAUUAAACAUGUUUGAAUACCUUGCUGUUAAUCUCAUCAAGCAUGAACUGCUUACUUGUUCUGCAUGCACCAACAUAUUAUGACAGACAUUAUUUGUAAAUUCAAAUCAUGGAAGGAGUAUUGAAGUGCUUGAGCAAUGUCACUUUUUUAAGUUUGAAUUUUCACCAUCAUGGAUUAGUUAUUGUGUUAUUGAGCAAAACAAAUCAAAGUAUAUCAUGAGUAGAUUUUGCAUUAUCUUAGUUCUAAGAUCAGUUUACCAGCAUUAGUUACUGUUGUUUGUUUAUACUGAGUGGAAUAUUUGUUAAUGUGUAAAAUUUGAUGUUUCAUUUGCCCUUUCCUUUAUCGAGUUCCCGAUAGUUUGUUAUGUUCAGUUUAAUGUUAAUUGUUGUUAGUACAACAAAGACAUACAAGUUGAUAGGAAGAUUUCAGAUGUAGUGCUUUUGAUUCAUCAUUGUGCUUUUUAUUAAACAGGAUUAUUAAAUAAUGAAUGUAUUUGCCAAGCUUGAUACCGUAAAUCAAACAAGAAAUAGUGGUUAGUUGUUAUUUACUGAUUAUUGAGGUAGAUAAAGUAUGAAUAGCUAGAUAUGUUUCUAUCAGUCUGUAUUGACAGUCACAAACAUAUGUGAUAUAUACAUUAAUUAGGUCUAAGUGUAGUAUAGGUAAAACACGAUUAUCAUCCACAUUCACUCUGAGCCCACCGACCUACUUGUUUGUGAUUUGCAUUUGUUGGACUCAAUUUCAAGGAAAAUGUUUGCCAAAAUUGUCAGUUACCUCAACUUGUUCUUUCUUAAAACCCAUGUUUUAUGUCAUAAUAGGGGUCUUUGUGAUCAGGGUCCAUUUUCACAAAGCAUUAUUAGUGCAACGACUAUCUUAAGGCCAUGUUAUUGGGUAUGAGCUACAAUCAUCGUAGUGCUAAGAUCGCUCUGUGUGAGUAGACGCAGGUUGAUAGCAUAUGCUCAUAAUAUCAAUGACUUGAAUCUCUGAUUUACAGCCUGUUAUAAUUUAGUUGGAAUAUCUGCUGAGUCUGCAUUAAAUAAAAUAUUAAAAUAUAAAUCGACUAGAUACUCACUUUUUAAAGGAAGAUUUGGAUGAUAAUCUGACAGUUGAUCUAUAUUGGCCUUACAUAACAACUUACCAACAUGUUUUACAUAAACUCAAGUUUGAUGAGAUUCAGUCUAAGUAAACUUAGGCUCAGUAUUAUUUGUUUCACUGCUAUACU
rnacentral:misc_RNA from 1 species